AUGUUUCCUGGCUCCAUAGGAAGAGAACAAGGUUGUUCGGUGUUCUGUCAGCGCUUAAUUGCUUUUAUGUUCCUUCAUAUGCUGCAGUUCCAUAUUCCUCUGAUCUGCAAGAUCAUGGCAGAGUCGUUGCUUCUCCCUCUAGUGCGCGGCGUGGCCCGCAAGGCGGCAGACGCACUCGUCGAGACCGUGACACGCAUGUGUGGCCUCGACGAUGACCGUCGAAUGCUGGAGCGCCAUCUGCUAGCCGUACAGUGCAAGCUGGCCAACGCGGAGGACAGGAGUGAGACAAACGACUAUGUCAAGAGCUGGAUGAAGGAGCUCAAGUCUGUCGCCUACGAGGCCGAUGACGUGCUCGAUGACUUCCAGUACAAGGCGCUGCGCCGCCAGUCUAAGAUUGGCAAGUCCACUACCCGCAAGGUACUCAGCUACAUCACGCGCCACAGCCCGCUGCUCUUCCGUUUUGAAAUGAGCAGGAAACUCAAGAAUGUCCUCAAGAAGAUUAAUAAGUUGGUUAAGGAGAUGAACACGUUUGGCUUGGAGAGUUCUGCCCGUAGGGAGGAGCAGCAGCAUCCUUGGCGGCAGACGCACUCAAAACUGGAUGACUCUAAGGAAAUAUUUGGAAGAGAUGGUGAUAAGAAGAUGGUUGUGAAGUUGCUGCUGGACCAGCAACAUCAGCGGAAGGUGCAGGUGCUGCCCAUAUUUGGGAUGGGAGGUAUUGGCAAGACGACUCUUGCUAAGAUGGUGUACAACGACAAAGAGAUCCAAGACCAUUUCCAGUUGAAGAUGUGGCACUGCGUGUCAGACAAUUUUGAUGUUAUUGCUCUUGUGAAAUCAAUAAUUGAAUUGGCUACAAAUGGAAGUUCAGCCAUGCCUGGGAGCAUUGAACUAUUGCAGAAGAAACUUGAUGAAGUCAUUGGUCAGCAGAGAUUUUUACUUGUUCUCGAUGAUGUAUGGAAUGAAGAUAAGAGAAUUUGGGAGGAUGAAUUGAAGUCACUAUUGUGUUCUGUUGGUGGACCAGGAAGUGUUAUAGUGGUCACGUGUCGAAACAAGCAAGUGGCCUCUAUAAUGAGCACCGUUAAGCCCCAUGAGCUAGUAUUUCUGUGUGAAGAGGAUUCAUGGGAAUUGUUCUUGAACAAAGCAUUUGGCAAUGGCAUAGAGGAGCAAGCAGAUUUAGUCACCAUCGGAAGGCGUAUUGUCGAUAAAUGCGGGGGCUUGCCUCUUGCUCUCAAGCCAAUGGGUGGAUUGCUGAGUUCAAAGCAAAAAGUACAGGAAUGGAAGGCCAUCGAACAAAGUAGCAUUGGGGAUAAUGUUGGAGGCAAAUAUGAGGUCAUGCCCAUACUAAAGUUGAGCUACAAACACUUGUCAUCUGAAAUGAAGCAAUGUUUUGCAUUCUGUGCAGUUUUUCCCAAGGAUUAUGAGAUGGAGAAGGAUAGGUUGAUUCAACUAUGGAUGGCAAAUGGCUUUAUUCAAGAAGACGGAACAACUGAUUUAAAACAGAAAGGAGAAUUGAUCUUCGAUGAGUUUGUUUGGAGGUCCUUUCUCCAAGAUAAGAAAGUGGUACUCAAAUCUAUUGUCUAUGCUAGUGUCACAGAAUAUGAGACAGUAGUAUGUAAAAUGCAUGACUUAAUGCAUGAUCUAGCAAAAGAAGUCACAGAUGAAUGUGAAAGUAUAGACGAACUGACUCAGCAGAAAGCAUUGUUAAAAGCCGCCCGUCACAUGCAAAUGGCAGAGACAAAAUUGGAACAAAUCAGUAUGUUAUGCAAAGGCGGAACAUACCUCCGAACUUUGUUAGCUCCUUCGGAUUUAUGGAAGGUAUAUUGUUCUAAUUUUCUGAGCAGGCUGCUCAAGGAUUUUAAAGAGUUGCUACAUGCAUCAGCAUCACUAAGAGCAUUGCAAUACCCCCCUUAUUCAAGUAACAUUUGCAAGGCCAUAAAUGCAAAACAUUUAAGAUAUCUUGACAUCUCUUGGUCUAACAUCGUUAGGUUGCCAGAUUCAAUAUGCAUGUUGUAUAACUUGCAAACACUGAGGCUCAUGAAUUGCAGUAUGCUGCAGCAGUUACCAGAAGACAUGGCAAGACUGAAAAUGCUCAUCCAUCUUUAUCUUUUUGGUUGUGUUAGUCUCAAAUGUAUUUUUCCAAACCUUGGUCUACUGAAAAACCUUCACACAUUAACAACAUUUUUGUCGGUGCUGGAGAUGGCCUUGGGAUAG
rnacentral:rRNA from 1 species